rnacentral:rRNA from 1 species
AACGAACGCUGGCGGCAGGCUUAACACAUGCAAGUCGAACGGGUGUAGCAAUACAUCAGUGGCAGACGGGUGAGUAACACGUGGGAACCUUCCUAGGGGUACGGAACAACUCAGGGAAACUUGAGCUAAUACCGUAUACGUCCGUGAGGAGAAAGAUUUAUCGCCCUUAGACGGGCCCGCGUCGGAUUAGGUAGUUGGUGGGGUAACGGCCUACCAAGCCUACGAUCCGUAGCUGAUCUUAGAGGAUGAUCAGCCACACUGGGACUGAGAAACGGCCCAGACUCCUACGGGGGGCAGCAGUGGGGAAUCUUGGACAAUGGGCGCGAGCCUGCUCCAGCCAUGCCGCGUGAGUGAAGAAGGCCUUAGGGUUGUAAAGCUCUUUUACCAGGGACGAUAAUGACGGUACCUGGAGAAUAAGCCCCGGCAAACUUCGUGCCAGCCGCCGCGGUAACAC